rnacentral:misc_RNA from 1 species
GAUGAAGAACGUAGCGAAAUGCGAUAAGUAAUGUGAAUUGCAGAAUUCAGUGAAUCAUCGAAUCUUUGAACGCACAUUGCGCCCAUUAGUAUUCUAGUGGGCAUGCCUGUUCGAGCGUCAUUUCAACCCUCAAGCACAGCUUGGUGUUGGGACUCGCGUUAAUUCGCGUUCCCCAAAUUGAUUGGCGGUCACGUCGAGCUUCCAUAGCGUAGUAGUAAAACCCUCGUUACUGGUAAUCGUCGCGGCCACGCCGUUAAACCCCAACUUCUGAAUGUUGACCUCGGAUCAGGUAGGAAUACCCGCUGAACUUAAGCAUAUCAAUAAGCGGAGGA